rnacentral:rRNA from 1 species
ACCUGACUGCUAUCGGAUUGAUACUAAGCCAUGCGAGUCUUUGCAGUAAUGCAAGGCAUACGGCUCAGUAACACGUAGUCAACUUACCCUAUGGACGAGGAUAAUCUCGGGAAACUGAGCAUAAUACUCGGUAGAUCAUAAUGCCUGGAAUGGUUUAUGGUUAAAAUGAUUCGUCGCCAUAGGAUGGGACUGCGGCCUAUCAGCUUGUUGGUGAGGUAAUGGCCCACCAAGGCGAUAACAGGUACGGGCUCUGAGAGGAGAAGCCCGGAGAUGGGUACUGAGACAAGGACCCAGGCCCUAUGGGGCGCAGCAGGCGAGAAAACUUUGCAAUGUGCGAAAGCACGACAAGGUUAGUCCGAGUGAUUUCUGCUAAAGAGAUCUUUUGCUAGUUAUAAAACCACUAGUGAAUAAGGGGUGGGCAAGUUCUGGUGUCAGCCGCCGCGGUAAAACCAGCACCUCAAGUGGUCAGGAUGAUUAUUGGGCCUAAAGCAUCCGUAGCCGGCUCUGUAAGUUUUCGGUUAAAUCUAUGCGCUCAACGUAUGGGCUGCCGAAAAUACUGCAGAGAUAGGGAGUGGGAGAGGUAGACGGUACUCGGUAGGAAGGGGUAAAAUCCUUUGAUCUAUCGAUGACCACCUGUGGCGAAGGCGGUCUACCAGAACACGUUCGACGGUGAGGGAUGAAAGCUGGGGGAGCAAACCGGAUUAGAUACCCGGGUAGUCCCAGCCGUAAACGAUGCAGACUCGAUGAUGCAUUGGCAUAUAGCCAGUGCAGUGUCGCAGGGAAGCCGUUAAGUCUGCCGCCUGGGAAGUACGUACGCAAGUAUGAAACUUAAAGGAAUUGGCGGGGGAGCACCACAAGGGGUGAAGCCUGCGGUUC